rnacentral:misc_RNA from 1 species
UUCACUUGUAUACACAUCACGACACCUUUUUCUUCUCUCAAUCUCUUUCAAGAAAGACAAAAUUCUCUCUCUUCCAAGGAACUAGAUCUACUUGAAAAAUCUCUGCUAAUGUUAAAAUCCAGGUGAAAGAAUUUUACCAAUCUACUUUCAACGGCCUUUAAUAUAGUUGAGUUUCAAGUAGCUUUCGGGUAGUUGAGCUCAUUUCAUGCCAUGCCAUCAUCCAACCAACGGAGGCUGCAACAAAAGACGGGCUGAGGAGGCACGUACCCGAUUCGAUUCCCACCCGACCAUCCUCCUCAGCCGUCGUGAGCGGCUCGCGGGUUGUUUGACUCGACCCGGAAACACUCUCUCUCGGAGACCCAAAUGGCUUUCUCAGAGAGGAAUGCUAUUCUUCCUCAUCUGCUGACGCUGUCGCUACUCGCAAUUUCAGUGGCCAAUCAAGCUAUUGGUAUUCGGAUACCGGAUCAGAUCUCCAAUCCCUCCACGGUCCCCUCGGAUCAGCCUCUGAAAAUCGCCGUCUUCGCUCUCGGUAGCUUCUGGAGAUCCGAAGCCAUCUUCGGCUGUGUUAAUGGGGUAUUUCGGACCACCGCGGGUUAUUCCGGCGGAUCCAAAUCCAACCCCGAAUACAGGAGCUUAGGUGAUCAUGCCGAGUCCGUACAGGUACAAUAUGAUCCUAGGGUAAUAAGUUUUAGGCAGCUUUUGGAGGUUUUUUGGUCUAGUCAUGAUUCGAGGCAAGUUUUUGGCCAAGGUCCUGAUGUGGGUAACCAAUACAGAUCUGUUAUCUUUACCAAUGGUACUGAGGAGGCCAGAUUAGCUGCUGUUAGCAAAGAAAAAGAGCAAUUAAGGUCAAGGAGCAGCAUUGUGACUACUCAAAUUCAACAGUUUGUAGCAUUUUAUCCUGCAGAACCUGAACAUCAGAAAUUUGAGCUCAAGCGUAGGCCAUUUCUUCUUCAGCUGAUGGGAAACUUGCCUGAAGAGGAGCUUCAAAGGUCAAGUUUGGCAGCUAAACUAAAUGGUUAUGCAGCAGAUCUCUGUCCUCCGAAGAUUCAAAACCAGAUUGAUGCGAAGAUCAAUCAGAUUGUUAAGAAAGGUUGGCCUGUUUUGAGAGGUGUUUAGAUGGCUUGCUUAGAGUAGAUUUUUUUGCAAAAUGCUUCAAUUGACAGAGCUCCUUCCCGGAGUGCCCCCUUGCAUGUUAUUAUUUAUAUCUAACUGUCGGUUACCGCAAGUUACAACUGAUAGAAGCAGACAGAUCUUGGGUACACUUGAACAAGAACAGGAUUAUUCUUUUGUUACUCAAAAUCUCAAAUGAAAUAGUCUUUAGCAUAUCCUUUUUCUUUUUUAGGAGAAAAGCAGUAUUGAAAGUGCAUAAGAGUUGUUUGGAAGGAUUUUUUAUUUUAUGCAGUAUUGUAAUUGAAUUUAUUUGUUCACAUUACAGAUUUUCG